AAUAAAUGGGUAGGCUUUACCUGAUUGGCUGAAUUCAGUCUCGAUCAACCAGACGCUUGUCUAUAAUACAAAGUCUUGACUACUGGAAGUUGAAAAUAACUGCAAAUUUGACCUAUAAACGCCACGGCAUGGGUAUGGUCAACCUGGCCACCAGUGGGAAUGGGUGCACCAACACCUGCACAGAGACCUCUGAUGGAGCUGCCCGGACCGUGAUUAGAAGAGUGAGCAGCACUGUGCACCCGACCAGCAAAGUUUUUCGUUAAAGUAACAUUAUGAGGCAGGGAUCGUCGCAGAGUUCUGUUGAAGCUUUCGACCUUUUGUGAGUUGCUGUUUUUGAUCGUCCUGUCCAGUACAGCUGGAGACAACCUCUUUGAGAUGUAGGCAUGGAGCCUUGCCUCGUUCUUGACAAAAGACGCAAACCGUCCUUGUAGAGGGAAUCUGCAGCUCGACCAGCCGAGCUGUCCGGGUCAGUGGUUACCUCCCUUACCUCGAGGUCAUCUUUGCAGAGGAGUUCCGCCAUUCCCUCCCGAGCUCAUGUCAACUCAUCCCCUAUGGUAUGCUGCAUGGGUAGGUUUGCCCCACACACCCCAGGACUACAUUGGUGGUUAGCAGUACCCUCCUCCAGGACCUACGAGAAGGAGGGGGAGUGUUAGUAGAAAGAAGAAUUUUCCUCAUCCCGUCAUUGCCUAUGGGGGUUUGACUUAGGCCCACCUGAAGCCCGUGAUUAACAGUUGCAGCUUUUCUACCUUGGGAUUUGGACUCUACCUCCUCAUACAGAUUGUACCGCCUCGACGUGUAGCCGCACUUGGUGCAGUAGAGGCCCAAUCAGCUUCCCAGGCCUCGCCUCUCUUCGGUAGCCAGGUACCGGUCCAUCACAGCCUGGUUCCUCAUGCUGGUGGACUCGCAUGACCUCAUUCCACAUCUCGGCUGUUUUUCUUAGAUGUAGGAGUCUAUGGGAAUUUUGGUUAGCCAGCCUAGGCCCUCCUGAACACUUUCAUUGUUUGGCUUCCUUGGCCUGAGGAGGUGGUGGCACUUGGGUCGCACCCUCAUUUCCUGCCUUUCAGCAGCUGAGGGAGUCACCGUCACCAUCUGAUGCAUGUCCUCAGACAGUCUCCUGUACGGUGCAGGAUGGCAGUAUGGUACUUUAGUGAGUGGAACAGGAAUUGUUAUUGGUGUAUCAGACAAAGGUAGAUUCUCCACAUAUUUCCACGCUCUGAUGGAGGUUAAUCUGGCAGUGAUGAGUUGCAAUAUGAGGAUUGAUUCAAACCUCCUCCCAGUCUCAGAGCUCAGUCCUCCUCCUCAUCCUCAACUCUGGAGACUGCAUCCUCUUCUUCUCUACAUCCCCUCAGCAGUCCCACAUCUUCUGCCAAGAGGAAGAAACUCGAAGCAAAAAGACAUAAAGAGAGAGGAGGAGCCGUGCCUAAGACAUCCACCCCUGCUCAGCGUACAAGUGAGAGCGACUCCUCCAUGUCUCUGAGCCCAGCGACUUCUUCGGAUGUGACUCCGUCUUCUUCCUCUGCCUCAGCGGCCUCUGCUUCCCCCUCCACCUCUGGGACUUCCUUGGCCACUGCUGGGAGUGAUCCUGGAAAGGGGGAUCCUAGUGGAACAAAUGUCAAAAUGGAGGAUAUACUGUGGUUACACAGAGCUGUCACUGUAUCCAAAAUCCUCAGGUGCUUGGGAUUCAAGGAGAAGCAUGGGAGUCGUCUCGUCAGUUCUGUGUGAGACUGCCCGGCGACCUGGUUGUGUCCAGCCUACAGACAGCUGCUGACUGUUCCGUCUCGUCAGUUCUGUGUGAGACUGCCCGGCGACCUGGUUGUGUCAGGCCUACAGACAGCUGCUGACCGUUCCGUCUAGUCAGUUCUGUGUGAGACUGGCCAGUGGAGGAGACCCGACCUACACCUUCAAUGUCCACCUAACGGGGGAGGAGGUCCAUGGAACUAGUGGCUCCUUCUGACUUAAGGUGGCUCCUUCCGACAGUUUUUAGCUCUACUGGUCAGAGACCAGAAGAGCUUAUGCGAUAGUAAUGAGUCCGUCGUCCGUCCGUCUGUCUGUCUGUCCGUCUGUCUGUCUGUCUGUAAACAAUUUUUCAAAAUGCUACUCCUCCUACAGUUUUGGUCCGAUUUCAAUAUAACUUGGCACACAAGUAAACUACACUAAGAUACAUAAUUUUGUGCAUCGGUUUUUGAUUUCGAUGAACGGUGUCGCCGUGGUUACUAAAAAUAGAAAUUUCUGUGAAAUUCUUUCAAAAUGCUACUCCUCCUACAGUUUUGGUCUGAUUUCAAUAUAACUUGGCACAAAAGUAGACUACACUAAGAUACAUAAUUCUUUGCAUCGGUUUUUGAUUUCGAUGAACGGUGUUGCCGUGGUUACAAAAAAUAGAAAUUUCUUUGAAAUUCUUUCAAAAUGGUACUCCUCCUACAGUUUUGGUCCAAUUACAAUAUUACUUGGCACACAAGUAGACUACACUAAAAUACAUAAUUCUGUGCAUCGGUUUUUGAUUUCGAUGAACGGGGUUGCCGUGGUUACUAAAAAUAGAAAUUUCUUUGAAAUUCUUUCAAAAUGCUACUCCUCCUACAGAUUUGGUCCGAUUUCAGUAUAACUUGGCACACAAGUAGACUACACUAAGAUACAUAAUUCUGUGCAUCGGUUUUUGAUUUCGAUAAACGUUGUUGCCGUGGUUACUAAAAAUAGAAAUUUCUGUGAAAUUCUUUCAAAAUGCUACUCCUCCUACAGUUUUGGUCCAAUUUCAUUAUAACUUGGCACACAAGUAGACUACACUAAGAUACAUAAUUCUGUGCAUCGGUUUUUGAUUUCAAUGAACGGUGUUGCCUUGGUUACUAAAAAUAGAAAUUUCUGUGAAAUUCUUUCAAAAUGCUACUCCUCCUACAGAUUUGGUCCGAUUUCAGUAUAACUUGGCACACAAGUAGACUACACUAAGAUACAUAAUUCUGUGCAUCGGUUUUUGAUUUCGAUAAACGGUGUUGCCGUGGUUACUAAAAAUAGAAAUUUCUGUGAAAUUCUUUCAAAAUGCUACUCCUCCUACAGUUUUGGUCUGAUUUUGAUAUAACUUGGCAUACAAGUAGACUACACUAAGAUACAUAAUUCUGUGCAUCGGUUUUUGAUUUCAAUGAACAAUGUUGCCAUGGUUACUAAAAAUAGAAAUUUCUGUGAAAUUCUUUCAAAAUGCUACUCCUCCUGCAGUUUUGGUCUGAUUUCAGUAUAACUUGGCACACAAGUAGACUAUACUAAGAUACAUAAUUCUGUGCAUUGGUUUUUAUUUUGAUGAGUGGCAAGGAUCAUUUUUCUAUUUAUUGCUGAUUUAAAGUCUCAAGUCCCAACUGCUACUUUUCUCUUCCUUUGUUUUAAGUAUAAACCAGUAGAGCUACAGUCUCGACAGAGACUUCUGGUUAUGGCAAGCUGCCAAAGAAAUCAGUGGCCCCCUGGUGCGUUUACUGAUUCCCAGCAAUAACUCGGACAACAAAGGUCGCUACAUCUUCAGACCCGGCCCCAUUGUCCUACAUAGAGAAAGGGCUUCUACAGUUCUUUGGUUAAGUGCACAUGAUGCAGCUUCCUGGAUGGUGUAUAGGCGUUUGUCAACAUGUGAAACCCACGUGUAUUUUGGGAUUUUCUGUAAGGCUGUACCCACCUGGACCCCAGUCCUACAUUGACCUACAUCCCAUGGAAUAAAUAACAGUCUCUAGCUGUCCCGGCCAUAAAGAAUUGUUCGGUAGUUUUCGUGAAUUUCCGACUUCCGAGUCUACUGGCCACACUUCAUGUUUUUCAUGCACGAGCGCUUUUGCACACAGUCCUGUAAAAAAUAACUUCAACAACAGGGUACGGGGAAUGUUCGAUUCAAUACUCUGGGAUUGAGUCUCUUGGAUUUGUUAUGUCCACGUGAAGAUGUACAUGUAAGGAGCCGCUCGUUCACCGGUCAACAGAAAUUCAGGUAGAGACAAAUUGUUCGUGGGGCCAAUGUACUGCGUGAAAUAACAUCGGGAUCGUAAUACUGGAACGCCAUUUGUGUGACAUGUCCGUGGCGGGAAAGGAGAGGAUGAUCAGAGGGCCAGUGAGACGAUGUUUAAUGAGCCACAUGAUACUGAUUAUAGUUGAGCAUGUCAGAUGUAUCUUCCUGUCUUCCUGUCAACAUGUGAAACCCAUGUGAAUUUUAGGAUAGGAGUAGUCUCCCCUGUUAAAGAUCAUCCAUGGUGUACAUACAUUGCAGGAUGCUGUCUGGUCAUCAACAGAAAGUCUUGACGCUGUAUUUCUACCAAUCACCACUGUAAACUUUGUUACAGACAGAUGAUGAACCACUCUACUUCCUUUGAAAACAGGUGUCCAUACAGAUUCCCAAAGUUCCAAUGUUGAGUAUCCAUAAGCCUUAAUCAAUGACCCAGGAAAAGCUGUCAAGUUGACAGGACUUUCCACACUGUUCCAGGUAUCGGUUAAGAAUGGAACAGUCCGCAGUAGACAUAGCCACCUUCAUCAAAGGAGUAGUCUCCCCUGUUAAAGAACUUCCAUGGUGUAUAAACAUUGUGGGAUGCUGCCUGGUCAUCAACAGAGAGUCUUGACGCUGUAUUUCUACCAAUCACCACUGUAAUCUUUGUUACGUUCAGCAGGUGACCAUUAAAGGAUUUGAGAAGAGUACAGAUUCUUGAAAUCAUCCACACGGAAAGAUAACAAUAGACCUGAAAGAAGUCAGACGGCCUGCUUUGAUUAAGGUAAG